rnacentral:rRNA from 1 species
UGAGGAAUAUUGGUCAAUGGACGCAAGUCUGAACCAGCCAAGUAGCGUGCAGGAUGACGGCCCUAUGGGUUGUAAACUGCUUUUAUAUGGGGAUAAAGUGCGUGACGUGUCAUGCAUUGCAGGUACCACAUGAAUAAGGACCGGCUAAUUCCGUGCCAGCAGCCGCGGUAAUACGGAAGGUCCGGGCGUUAUCCGGAUUUAUUGGGUUUAAAGGGAGCGUAGGCUGUCUAUUAAGCGUGUUGUGAAAUAUACCGGCUCAACCGGUGGCUUGCAGCGCGAACUGGUCGACUUGAGUAUGCAGGAAGUAGGCGGAAUUCAUGGUGUAGCGGUGAAAUGCUUAGAUAUCAUGACGAACUCCGAUUGCGCAGGCAGCUUACUGUAGCAUAACUGACGCUGAUGCUCGAAAGUGCGGGUAUCAAACAGG